rnacentral:rRNA from 1 species
AUUGAACGCUGGCGGCAGGCUUAACACAUGCAAGUCGAGCGAGGGGCGGACGGGUGAGUAAUGUCGGGGAAACUGCCUGAUGGAGGGGGAUAACUACUGGAAACGGUAGCUAAUACCGCAUACCAUCAGAUGUGCCCAGCUGGGAUUAGCGAGGAGGUGGGGUAAUGGCUCCACUAGGCGACGAUCCCUAGCUGGUCUGAGAGGAAGACCAGACACACUGGACCUGAGACACGGUCCAGAACCCUACGGGAGGCAUCAGUGGGGAAUAUUGCACAAUGGGCGCAAGCCUGAUGCAGCCAUGCCGCGUGUGUGAAGAAGGCCUUCGGGUUGUAAAGCACUUUCAGCGAGGAGGCGUUACUCGCAGAAGAAGCACCGGCUAACUCCGUGCCAGCAGCCGCGGUAAUUC